rnacentral:rRNA from 1 species
CCCUUAGAUGUUCUGGGCCGCACGCGUGCUACACUGAGUGGAUCAGCGGGUCAGGUUGCGCGAAAGCGUUUCCUAAUCUUUAAACCCGCUCGUGAUGGGGAUUGACGGUUGCAAUUUUCUGUCAUGAACGAGGAAUACCUUGUAAGCGCGGGUCAUCAUCCCGCGCUGAAUACGUCCCUGCCCUUUGUACACACCGCCCGUCGCUCCUACCGAUUGAGUGGUCCGGUGAGGUUUUGGGAUCUGAGCGGAAAGAGCGUUUCGCUGUUUCUGCUCGGAAAACUCAGUCGAACCUUAUCAUUUAGAGGAAGGAGAAGUCGUAACA